AAUGUCUUAGGUUAAAUAAACCUGUAGCCUUCAAAGUUACGAUUGAGCAGCUUGCUCAGACAUUA
rnacentral:tRNA from 1 species